rnacentral:misc_RNA from 1 species
GUUUGUUGGAGAUCAAAAAAGCAAGCUAUAAUUGUUCUCUACCAUGGAGGCUGAACUAAUUGCUUUAGCUUCAGCUAGUGAGGAAGCGAAUUGGUUAAGAGAUUUGUUGUUUUAAACUCCUUAUUUUGAAAGACCAAUUCCUCCUAUUUUUAUUCAUUGUGAUAGCACGACUGCAAUUGGUAGAGUUUAAAAUCAUUAUUACAACGGUAAAUCCAGACCUAUAAGGAGGAAA